AGUCUGCUAGUCUGGACUGAUAUGGUUAGCUUUUCUUUUUUUUUUUUUUGAGAUGGAGUCUGGCUCUGUUGCCCAGGCUGGAGUACAGUGGC
rnacentral:pre_miRNA from 1 species